AGUCGAGCGCGCCUUUCGGGGUGAGCGGCGGACGGGUUAGUAACGCGUGGGAAUAUACCCUUUUCUACGGAAUAGCCUCUGGAAACGGAGAGUAAUACCGUAUGAGCCCUUCGGGGGAAAGAUUUAUCGGGAAAGGAUUAGCCCGCGUUAGAUUAGGUAGUUGGUGGGGUAAUGGCCUACCAAGCCUACGAUCUAUAGCUGGUUUUAGAGGAUGAUCAGCAACACUGGGACUGAGACACGGCCCAGACUCCUACGGGAGGCAGCAGUGGGGAAUCUUGGACAAUGGGGGCAACCCUGAUCCAGCCAUGCCGCGUGAGUGAUGAAGGCCUUAGGGUCGUAAAGCUCUUUCGCCUGUGAAGAUAAUGACGGUAGCAGGUAAAGAAACCCCGGCUAACUCCGUGCCAGCAGCCGCGGUAAUACGGAGGGGGUUAGCGUUGUUCGGAAUUACUGGGCGUAAAGCGCACGUAGGCGGACUGGAAAGUUGGGGGUGAAAUCCCAGGGCUCAACCCUGGAACUGCCUCCAAAACUAUCAGUCUAGAGUUCGAGAGAGGUGAGUGGAAUUCCAAGUGUAGAGGUGAAAUUCGUAGAUAUUUGGAGGAACACCAGUGGCGAAGGCGGCUCACUGGCUCGAUACUGACGCUGAGGUGCGAAAGUGUGGGGAGCAAACAGGAUUAGAUACCCUGGUAGUCCACACCGUAAACGAUGAAUGCCAGUCGUCGGGUAGCAUGCUAUUC
rnacentral:rRNA from 1 species